UCUCCAACACCAUCCGCUAUUGUUCUCGAGAAGCUGGAAGAAACAGAUAGUCUCCCUUCAAGGAUUGUGCUAAGCACUUUACUUGUCAGCAUUGGAACCCGAGUGCCUUGGACUGGAUUCCAAUUUCAAUCCAAAUGGAGGACAACAGAUCCUUUAAAUCACCAUGGGCCAACCUUUUUGCCAGGUGUGCCUCAAGGAAAGUAGCGCUGAAAGGAACCUAAUCCAUCCCCUGCUCAAGACAAGAUCAUCCCUCACGAAACCAUCCCAGGCAAG